AUGGGGACUGAACUGACAAUGGCAUCUUUUCCAUAUUCACAGGUUCAUCUGCAGUCUGGGCCUGAACUGAGGAGUCCAAGAGCUUCAGUAAGUGUGUCCUGCAAGGAUGUUGUCUCAGAGAGCUUCCCCAUUUCCUAUAUGAGUUGGGUGAUGCAGAAGCCUGAACAUGGGCUUGAAUUCUUUGGAAACCCACUCCCAAACAUGAGCAGAACAAACUAUGGAAAGAAAUUGGAGGACAGAGCCAUAUCAGAUGCAGACACCAUGUCCAACACAGACUUCAUGGAGCUCAGCAGCCUGACAUCUGAGGACUCUGGAGUCUAUUACUGUGCAAGGCAGUGUCACAGCCCACAUCUGAGGUGUGCCAGGGCUAAGAAGCUGCCUCGGGGCUGA